AGCAGCCGCGGUAAUUCCAGCUCCAAUAGCGUAUAUUAAAGUUGUUGCAGUUAAAAAGCUCGUAGUUGAAUUUCGGGGUUAGUAAGUUGGUCGUGCCACUGGUAUGUACUGGCUUUACUGAUUCCUUCUUCUUGUAGAACCGUAAUGCCAUUAAGUUGGUGUUGCGGGGAAACAGGACUGUUACUUUGAAAAAAUUAGAGUGUUUAAAGCAAGCUAACGCUUGAAUACAUUAGCAUGGAAUAAUGAAAUAGGACGUUCGAUCCUAUUUUGUUGGUUUCUAGGAUUGACGUAAUGAUUAAUAGGGAUAGUUGGGGGCAUUAGUAUUCAAUUGUCAGAGGUGAAAUUCUUGGAUUUAUUGAAGACUAACUACUGCGAAAGCAUUUGCCAAGGAUGUUAUCAUUAAUCAAGAACGAAAGUUAGGGGAUCGAAGACGAUCAGAUACCGUCGUAGUCUUAACCAUAAACUAUGCCGACUAGGGAUCGGAUGAUGUUAAUUUUAUAAUGACUCAUUCGGCGCCUUA
rnacentral:rRNA from 1 species